rnacentral:rRNA from 1 species
CGUGAGUAACCUGCCUUUCANAGGGGGAGUAACGUUCUGAAAAGAACGCUAAUACCGCAUAACAUCAAUUUAUCGCAUGAUAGGUUGAUCAAAGGAGCAAUCCGCUGGAAGAUGGACUCGCGUCCGAUUAGCCAGUUGGCGGGGUAACGGCCCACCAAAGCGACGAUCGGUAGCCGGACUGAGAGGUUGAACGGCCACAUUGGGACUGAGACACGGCCCAAACUCCUACGGGAGGCAGCAUG